GUUGAAAAGAACUUUGAAGAGAGAGUUCAAUAGUACGCGAAACCGUUCAGGGGUAAACCUGAGAAACCCAAAAGAUCGAAUGGGGAGAUUCAUCGUCAACCUCUUUGGCUUGCGUGUGGGCGCGAUGAUCGGAGCCUCGGUUCCGCGUCACGCGUUCGCUGCGUCAUGUCCGGAGGGGACGGCGUGCACUUCUCCCCUAGUAGGACGUCGCGACCCGUUGGGUGCUUGUCUACGGUCCGGUAGGUCGACUGACGAGUCACGCGCAAGCGCGAUCUCGUCAGACCUCUGGUUACCCGAUUGGCUGCCCGACGGUAUUGAACGAUAAUUUUAUGGUAUUGGGCCGCACAAAGUGCGUUCAGGCCCGGCGUCAGAUUCGUCUCGCUCGGAUUUUCGAACCUGGUUUCGUUGUCGGGCGCUUGGCGAGUCGUGGACGUCGGUGUCCUCGGACUGGCUCUCAUAUAUUCGAACGGAUAUACCUGUCGGCGACGCUACUGCUUUGGGUACUUUCAGGACCCGUCUUGAAACACGGACCAAGGAGUCUAACAUGUGCGCGAGUCAUUGGGUUUCAAACUAAACCUAAAGGCGCAAUGAAAGUGAAGGUCGUACCUUGCGUCGACCGAGGGAAGAUGGCUCGCGUUACGAUGCGAGCCCGCACUCCCGGGGCGUCUCGUGCUCAUUGCGAGCAGAGCGCACCCAGAGCGCACACGUUGGG
rnacentral:rRNA from 1 species